CCCUUAGAUGUCCUGGGCCGCACGCGCGCUACACUGAACGGAUCAGCGCGUUUUCCCUUCCCGAGAGGGACGGGUAACCUGCUGAACCCCGUUCGUGGUAGGGAUCGGGGCUAGCAAUUAUUCCCCGUGAACCAGGAAUGCCCAGUAAGUGCAAGUCAUAAGCUUGCGUUGAUUACGUCCCUGCCCUUUGUACACACCGCCCGUCGCUACUACCGAUUGAACGUUUUAGUGAGGUACUCGGACUGAGCCUCAGAAGAUUCACGUCUUUUGUGCUGCUCGGGAAGAUUCCCAAACUUGAGCGUUUAGAGGAAGUAAAAGUCGUANCA
rnacentral:rRNA from 1 species